rnacentral:rRNA from 1 species
GCGUUAGGCGGAAUCACUGGGCUUAAAGCGUGUGUAGGCGGAUGCCUAAGUACCUUGUGAAAUCCCACGGCUCACCCGUGGAACUGCUUGGUAUACUGGGUAUCUUGAGCCACCUAGGGGCGAGCGGAACAAGUGGUGGAGCGGUGAAAUGCGUAGAUAUCACUUGGAACGCCAAUGGUGAAAACAGCUCGCUGGGGGUGUGCUGACGCUGAGACACGAAAGCCAG